GGAAGGGCUGUGGCUCAGUAGUCGGGCAUCUGCUUUGCAUGCAAAAGGUCCCAAGUUCUAUCCCGGGCACCUCCA
rnacentral:tRNA from 1 species